rnacentral:rRNA from 1 species
UCUUCACUAGCUUGCUUUUGAAGAUCAGCGGCGGACGGGUGAGUAACACGUGGGCAACCUGCCUGUAAGACUGGGAUAACUUCGGGAAACCGGAGCUAAUACCGGAUAAUCCUUUCCCUCACAUGAGGGAAAGCUGAAAGACGGUUUCGGCUGUCACUUACAGAUGGGCCCGCGGCGCAUUAGCUAGUUGGUGAGGUAACGGCUCACCAAGGCGACGAUGCGUAGCCGACCUGAGAGGGUGAUCGGCCACACUGGGACUGAGACACGGCCCAGACUCCUACGGGAGGCAGCAGUAGGGAAUCUUCCGCAAUGGACGAAAGUCUGACGGAGCAACGCCGCGUGAGCGAUGAAGGCCUUCGGGUCGUAAAGCUCUGUUGUCAGGGAAGAACAAG